UACGGGGGGAGCAAGCGUUGUUCGGAUUUACUGGGCGUAAAGGGCUCGUAGGCGGCCAACUAAGUCAGACGUGAAAUCCCUCGGCUUAACCGGGGAACUGCGUCUGAUACUGGAUGGCUUGAAUCCGGGAGAGGGAUGCGGAAUUCCAGGUGUAGCGGUAAAAUGCGUAGAUAUCUGGAGGAACACCGGUGGCGAAGGCGGCAUCCUGGACCGGUAUUGACGCUGAGGAGCGAAAGCCAGGGGAGCAAACGGG
rnacentral:rRNA from 1 species